CUUUCACACUAGCUGAAAGCCAAGUGCACCCGCGUUGAUGAGUUGAAUCGUUCUGUCCGGCAGCGUGAGGAUUUGCCCAGCACCCUUGUGGGAUGCACUGCAUCCUUAGCGGGGAGCGGGGCUUCGAUGAUCGCUCGGUUUGAACGGAUAGAGCGAAUUCUGAGUGGU
rnacentral:snoRNA from 1 species